rnacentral:lncRNA from 1 species
UUAGAUUUCUAGCUACGGAUGCAGUUUGGUCCAAUUAAUCAAGCAAAAAAGCUAAAAGGAAGCAAAGGCAUGGCGGAGGGCCUCCUCUUAUCGGUGAUACACAAGCUGGACAUGAAUUAUCAAAACGACACAAAAACAAAGGAAGACAUAAAAGAGCAAAUGGAGAUGGUAAUCAAAGAGAUGAGAGAGAUUGUGGAUAUUGUGAGGGAUAAGAAAUUGGAAGAGGGGAAAACCCUCAAUUUUAUGGUAUCUGACCUUGUCGACGUGGCUGAGGAUGCC